ACACUAUCAUUAACUGAAUCCAUAGGUUAAUGAGGCGAACCGGGGGAACUGAAACAUCUAAGUACCCCGAGGAAAAGAAAUCAACCGAGAUUCCCCCAGUAGCGGCGAGCGAACGGGGAGGAGCCCAGAGCCUGAAUCAGCAUGUGUGUUAGUGGAAGCGUCUGGAAAGGCGCGCGAUACAGGGUGACAGCCCCGUACACAAAAGCGCAUGUGCUGUGAGCUCGAUGAGUAGGGCGGGACACGUGGUAUCCUGUCUGAAUAUGGGGGGACCAUCCUCCAAGGCUAAAUACUCCUGACUGACCGAUAGUGAACCAGUACCGUGAGGGAAAGGCGAAAAGAACCCCGGCGAGGGGAGUGAAAAAGAACCUGAAACCGUGUACGUACAAGCAGUGGGAGCACAGGUUUACCUGUGUGACUGCGUACCUUUUGUAUAAUGGGUCAGCGACUUAUAUUCUGUAGCAAGGUUAACCGAAUAGGGGAGCCGGAGGGAAACCGAGUCUUAAUUGGGCGUUAAGUUGCAGGGUAUAGACCCGAAACCCGGUGAUCUAGCCAUGGGCAGGUUGAAGGUUGGGUAACACUAACUGGAGGACCGAACCGACUAAUGUUGAAAAAUUAGCGGAUGACCUGUGGCUGGGGGUGAAAGGCCAAUCAAACCGGGAGAUAGCUGGUUCUCCCCGAAAGCUAUUUAGGUAGCGCCUCGUGAAUUCAUCUCCGGGGGUAGAGCACUGUUUCGGCUAGGGGGCCAUCCCGGCUUACCAACCCGAUGCAAACUGCGAAUACCGGAGAAUGUUAUCACGGGAGACACACGGCGGGUGCUAACGUCCGUCGUGAAGAGGGAAACAACCCAGACCGCCAGCUAAGGUCCCAAAGUCAUGGUUAAGUGGGAAACGAUGUGGGAAGGCCCAGACAGCCAGGAUGUUGGCUUAGAAGCAGCCAUCAUUUAAAGAAAGCGUAAUAGCUCACUGGUCGAGUCGGCCUGCGCGGAAGAUGUAACGGGGCUAAACCAUGCACCGAAGCUGCGGCAGCGACACUGUGUGUUGUUGGGUAGGGGAGCGUUCUGUAAGCCUGUGAAGGUGUGUCGUGAGGCAUGCUGGAGGUAUCAGAAGUGCGAAUGCUGACAUAAGUAACGAUAAAGCGGGUGAAAAGCCCGCUCGCCGGAAGACCAAGGGUUCCUGUCCAACGUUAAUCGGGGCAGGGUGAGUCGACCCCUAAGGCGAGGCCGAAAGGCGUAGUCGAUGGGAAACGGGUUAAUAUUCCCGUACUUGGUGUUACUGCGAAGGGGGGACGGAGAAGGCUAUGUUGGCCGGGCGACGGUUGUCCCGGUUUAAGCGUGUAGGUGUGUGUUCCAGGUAAAUCCGGUUCACUUUAACACUGAGGCGUGACGACGAGGCACUACGGUGCUGAAGCAACAAAUGCCCUGCUUCCAGGAAAAGCCUCUAAGCAUCAGGUAACAUCAAAUCGUACCCCAAACCGACACAGGUGGUCAGGUAGAGAAUACCAAGGCGCUUGAGAGAACUCGGGUGAAGGAACUAGGCAAAAUGGUGCCGUAACUUCGGGAGAAGGCACGCUGACACGUAGGUGAAGUGAUUUACUCAUGGAGCUGAAGUCAGUCGAAGAUACCAGCUGGCUGCAACUGUUUAUUAAAAACACAGCACUGUGCAAACACGAAAGUGGACGUAUACGGUGUGACGCCUGCCCGGUGCCGGAAGGUUAAUUGAUGGGGUCAGCGCAAGCGAAGCUCCUGAUCGAAGCCCCGGUAAACGGCGGCCGUAACUAUAACGGUCCUAAGGUAGCGAAAUUCCUUGUCGGGUAAGUUCCGACCUGCACGAAUGGCGUAAUGAUGGCCAGGCUGUCUCCACCCGAGACUCAGUGAAAUUGAACUCGCUGUGAAGAUGCAGUGUACCCGCGGCAAGACGGAAAGACCCCGUGAACCUUUACUAUAGCUUGACACUGAACAUUGAGCCUUGAUGUGUAGGAUAGGUGGGAGGCUUUGAAGUGUGGACGCCAGUCUGCAUGGAGCCGACCUUGAAAUACCACCCUUUAAUGUUUGAUGUUCUAACGUGGACCCGUUACCCGGGUUGCGGACAGUGUCUGGUGGGUAGUUUGACUGGGGCGGUCUCCUCCUAAAGAGUAACGGAGGAGCACGAAGGUUGGCUAAUCCUGGUCGGACAUCAGGAGGUUAGUGCAAUGGCAUAAGCCAGCUUGACUGCGAGCGUGACGGCGCGAGCAGGUGCGAAAGCAGGUCAUAGUGAUCCGGUGGUUCUGAAUGGAAGGGCCAUCGCUCAACGGAUAAAAGGUACUCCGGGGAUAACAGGCUGAUACCGCCCAAGAGUUCAUAUCGACGGCGGUGUUUGGCACCUCGAUGUCGGCUCAUCACAUCCUGGGGCUGAAGUAGGUCCCAAGGGUAUGGCUGUUCGCCAUUUAAAGUGGUACGCGAGCUGGGUUUAGAACGUCGUGAGACAGUUCGGUCCCUAUCUGCCGUGGGCGCUGGAGAACUGAGGGGGGCUGCUCCUAGUACGAGAGGACCGGAGUGGACGCAUCACUGGUGUUCGGGUUGUCAUGCCAAUGGCACUGCCCGGUAGCUAAAUGCGGAAGAGAUAAGUGCUGAAAGCAUCUAAGCACGAAACUUGCCCCGAG
rnacentral:rRNA from 2 species